GCAGUCCCUUCUGAUGGAGGAUGGCUUGCUUCCACUUAUUUAUCACAUAUUCUGCGAAGGCCAGCAUCUUCAAAUACUAAUGUAUUUAAGGGUUCUUUUGAAGACCCUGACCUGAAGUUACACGCUGACUUCAGUUCUUUGCGGGAAUCGGACCCGCUCUCAGGGCCUCAUGACCGGCCAUUUCUCGAUAUGCCAAGUUCACGGCUUGGAAGACCAGCGUACCUUCAAGGUGCCGAUUUUCGUGGAUCUAGAGGCGGGCGGAUUCGAGGUUGGUGCCGCCGUCACCUGAUGUGUCAUGGGAGUACACAGAAGGUCGAAAGCAGUGAGCUGGUUGCUGGCUGCGUGCCCAGAGACCCGAGUUCUUUUGGCACAGAGCUCGGAAAAAGCGAUGCAACAGACUUCUAACAUCAUAAACUGGGUCCUUUUGAAGACCCUGACCUGGAGUUACAUGCUGACUUUGGUUCUUUGCGGGAAUGGGACCUGAUCUCGGGGUUUCAGGACCGGCCGUUGUUUGGCACGCCAAGGGUUCAGCCUGAGAGUCCGGCUCG